GACCGGCGCACGGGUGAGUAACGCGUAUGCAACCCUGCCUACUACAGGGGGGAUAGCCCGGAGAAAUCCGGAUUAAUACCGCAUAAAACAGGGGCUCCACAUGGGGAUAUUUUGUUAAAGAUUUAUCGGUAGUAGAUGGGCAUGCGUUCCAUUAGCUGGUUGGUGGGGUAACGGCCUACCAAGGCAACGAUGGAUAGGGGAACUGAGAGGUUUAUCCCCCACACUGGUACUGAGACACGGACCAGACUCCUACGGGAGGCAGCAGUGAGGAAUAUUGGUCAAUGGACGAGAGUCUGAACCAGCCAAGUCGCGUGAAGGACGACGGUUCUAUGGAUUGUAAACUUCUUUUGUGCUAGAGUAAAGUCAGGUACGUGUACCUGAUUGCAAGUAUAGUACGAAUAAGCAUCGGCUAACUCCGUGCCAGCAGCCGCGGUAAUACGGAGGAUGCGAGCGUUAUCCGGAUUUAUUGGGUUUAAAGGGUGCGUAGGCGGUUUCUUAAGUCAGCGGUAAAAUUUCAGGGCUUAACCCUGUCGUGCCGUUGAAACUGGGGGACUUGAGUCUGGAUGAAGUGGGCGGAAUUUGUAGUGUAGCGGUGAAAUGCAUAGAUAUUACAAGGAACUCCAAUUGCGCAGGCAGCUCACUAAACCAUCACUGACGCUGAAGCACGAAAGCGUGGGUAUCAAACAGGAUUAGAU
rnacentral:rRNA from 1 species